rnacentral:rRNA from 1 species
UACGGAGGGUGCAAGCGUUAAUCGGAAUUACUGGGCGUAAAGCGCACGCAGGUGGCUGAGUCAGUCGAUUGUGAAAGCCCUGGGCUUAACCUGGGAAUUGCAGUCGAUACUACUCAGCUAGAGUAUGGGAGAGGGCAGUGGAAUUCCCGGUGUAGCGGUGAAAUGCGUAGAUAUCGGGAGGAACAUCAGUGGCGAAGGCGGCUGCCUGGCCCAUACUGACACUCAGGUGCGACAGCGUGGGGAGCAAACAGG